rnacentral:rRNA from 1 species
GAGUUUGAUCGUGGCUCAGAUUGAACGCUGGCGGCAUGCCUUACACAUGCAAGUCGAACGGCAGCACGGGAGAUUGCUCCUGGUGGCGAGUGGCGAACGGGUGAGUAAUGCAUCGGAACGUAUCCUGGAGUGGGGGAUAACGUAGCGAAAGUUACGCUAAUACCGCAUAUUCUGUGAGCAGGAAAGCGGGGGACCUUCGGGCCUCGCGCUCUUGGAGCGGCCGAUGUCGGAUUAGCUAGUUGGUGAGGUAAAGGCUCACCAAGGCGACGAUCCGUAGCAGGUCUGAGAGGAUGAUCUGCCACACUGGAACUGAGACACGGUCCAGACUCCUACGGGAGGCAGCAGUGGGGAAUUUUGGACAAUGGGGGCAACCCUGAUCCAGCCAUGCCGCGUGAGUGAAGAAGGCCUCGG